rnacentral:tRNA from 1 species
UGCCCGAUGGUGUAAUGGCAGCACAUGGGCCUUUGGAGCCUUGAGUCCUGGUUCGAAUCCAGGUCGGGCAACCA